GCUGGAAUCGCUAGUAAUCGCGAAUCAGAAUGUCGCGGUGAAUACGUUCCCGGGUCUUGUACACACCGCCCGUCACACCAUGGGAGUCGGAUAUGCCCGAAGUCAGUGACCCCAACCUUUUGGAGGGAGCUGCCGAAGGUGGAGCCGAUAACUGGGGUGAAGUCGUAACAAGGUACC
rnacentral:rRNA from 1 species